rnacentral:rRNA from 1 species
AGAGUAUGAUCCUGGCUCAGAACGAACGCUGGCGGCAUGCCUUAUACAUGCAAGUCGAACGAGAAAGUCACUUCGGUGGCGAGUACAGUGGCGCACGGGUGAGUAACGCGUAGAUGAUCUACCCUUCAGUCUGGGACAACUCUUGGAAACGGGAGCUAAUACCGGAUAAAACCUUCGGGUUGAAAGAUUUAUCGCUGGGGGAUGAGUCUGCGUACCAUUAGCUUGUUGGUGGGGUAACGGCCUACCAAGGCGACGAUGGUUAGCGGGUCUGAGAGGACGAUCCGCCACACUGGAACUGAGACACGGUCCAGACUCCUACGGGAGGCAGCAGUAGGGAAUAUUGCGCAAUGGGGGCAACCCUGACGCAGCAAUGCCGCGUGAGUGAAGAAGGCCUUCGGGUCGUAAAGCUCUUUUAUGGGGGAAGAUGAUGACGGUACCCCAUGAAUAAGCACCGGCUAACUACGUGCCAGCAGCCGCGGUAAUACGUAGGGUGCGAGCGUUGUUCGGAAUUACUGGGCGUAAAGGGCGUGCAGGCGGAUUGGCAAGCCGGAGGUGAAAGCCCGGGGCUCAACCCCGGAGGGUCUUUCGGAACUGCCAGUC